UAUUGGAACACCAGUUCCUGUACAAUCACCAAAGGUAAGCAAUGCCAAGCCUGGUCAGUACCUAGAUGGGUGACCACUUGGAAAUACCAGGUGCUGUAA